rnacentral:rRNA from 1 species
AAUCAACGCUGGCGGCGUGCCUCAGACAUGCAAGUCGAACGAUUAAGACUUCCUUCGGGAAGUGCAUAAAGUGGCGCACGGGUGAGUAACACGUAAGUAAUCUACCCUCGAGUGGGGAAUAACGUUCGGAAACGGACGCUAAUACCGCAUAACGCAGCGGCACCGCAAGGUGACAGUUGUUAAAGGAGCAAUCCGCUUGAGGAGGAGCUUGCGGCAGAUUAGCUAGUUGGUAAGGUAAUGGCUUACCAAGGCUACGAUCUGUAUCCGGUCUAAGAGGACGGUCGGACACACUGACACUGAAUAACGGGUCAGACUCCUACGGGAGGCAGCAGUCGGGAAUUUUGGGCAAUGGGCGAAAGCCUGACCCAGCAACGCCGCGUGAAGGAUGAAGUAUUUCGGUAUGUAAACUUCGAAAGAAUAGGAAGAAUUAAUGACGGUACUAUUUAUAAGGUCCGGCUAACUACGUG